GCCAGCGUGCGCCUUCCCCGUUGCUGGGCCCCUCCCCCUUGUUUUUGAAAGUGUGUUGGACGUGACUGGAGAGCAAGAGUUUGUUCGAGUAUCCGAAGGACGUGGUUGUCAGUUCAGGCUUUCAGAUCAGAUGGCAGUCUUCAACCAAUUCAGUUCUCUCCAUUUGAUGUCAAAGAAUAGCUGGAGAAAAUGGAUACUGUAAAGACUGAGGCCUGACAACAUACUGACAAUAGCAUGGAAGAUUCAUACCAUUCUGGUAAGAUGGUGGUGGAGUAGGGCUUCUGAGGCCUGGGCUUGUCUGCUUUUGGUGAAGAGAUCAAUCGUGGUGACGGCAUCAGUGGCGCUCCAGGACAUCUCUGCAGAGGUUCCUCGGCAGUGUCCUCGUUCAAUCAUCUUCAGCUGAUUCAUCAAUGACCUUCCCUCCAUCAUGAGGUCGGAAGUGGGGAUGCUCGCUACUGAUUGCGCAAUGUUCAGCACCAUUUGGUACUCCGAUACUGAAGCAGUCUGAGGCCCAAAUGCAGCAAGACUUGGACAGUAUCCAGAUUGGUGUUGACAAGUGGCAAAUGAUGUUUGCUCCAAACAAGUGCCAGGCAAUGACUGUGUCUCUAACAAGAGAAAAUCUAACUGUUGCCCCUUGACAUUCAAUGGCAUUACUAUCAGUGAAUCCUCCACUGUCAAUAUCAUGACCAAAAACUUAUCUUGACUAGUCAUGUCAAAACUAAGAGAACAGGUGAGGAUAGAAACCCUGCAGUGGGUAACUCAUCUGAAUCUCCUGAGUCAGUCCACAAUAUUCAAGACAGAAGUUGGGGUUUUGGUUGAAUACUCCCUACUUGCUUGAAUGUUGUUGGAACUGCACUCGGUCAAAAAGCUCGACAAAGCAGCCUGCUUGAUAUGUAAUAUAUCCACAAAUCUUCACUUCCUCCACCACUGACACAGCUGCAAUAUGUAUCAUCUACAAGACCCUUUCAUUCAAUAUCUCAAAUAAAAUAACGCAGCUAGCAAGGUCAUUAUCCCUAACCCUAACAAUGACUAAUCCUAUCAAAUUCUGCAAGGAUGUUAUUGCCUAAAUCUUAAAAUAUUUGAAGGAUAAAAUAGCAGGUAUUUUGCAUUGUCCCAUUUGCAUUACCUGAGAAGGCAUAUCUUUACAACUUUGCAAAUAAAAAAUUGUCUUCUAUGUUGUUCAAUAAUGAAUCAUUUAAGGAAAUAAAUUGCAUGUUGAGUCCCAAA